GUGUUGCGGUUCAGGGGUAGAGCACUCGCCUAGCACGUGUGAGACUCUAGGUUCGAUCCUUAGCACCACA
rnacentral:tRNA from 1 species